rnacentral:rRNA from 1 species
AGCGAACGCUGGCGGCAGGCCUAACACAUGCAAGUCGAACGAAGUCUUCGGACUUAGUGGCGGACGGGUGAGUAACACGUGGGAACGUGCCUUUAGGUUCGGAAUAACUCAGGGAAACUUGUGCUAAUACCGAAUGUGCCCUUCGGGGGAAAGAUCUAUCGCCUUUAGAGCGGCCCGCGUCUGAUUAGCUAGUUGGUGAGGUAAAGGCUCACCAAGGCUACGAUCAGUAGCUGGUCUGAGAGGAUGACCAGCCACAUUGGGACUGAGACACGGCUCAAACUCCUACGGGAGGCAGCAGUGGGGAAUCUUGCGCAAUGGGCGAAAGCCUGACGCAGCCAUGCCGCGUGGAUGAUGAAGGUCUUAGGAUUGUAAAAUCCUUUCACCGGUGAAGAUAAUGACUGUAGCCGGAGAAGAAGCCCCGGCUAACUUCGUGCCAGCCGCCGCAGUAAAAC